CAAUGAUGGUUUGAACAUUUUUUGCAGGAUGAGUUAAAAUGCACUGUAGUAUAUUUGGGAUUUUUGUUUUUGGAAUUGUCUGUUUUAAUCACAGUCUUAAUUCACAAUUGGCAAAGGCAGUUUACUCAAAGGACUGGCCUCAAUAUUCUGUAAUUAUGCAUUUUUGAUAGGAAAAUGAAAUUUUUGCAAACAGACAUUUUCUUUUUUUCUUUUUUUUUGGCUGGAGUGCAGUGGGGCAUGGUCUUGGCUCACCGCAGCAUUGACCACCUGGGCUCAAGUGAUAUUCCUGCCUCAGCCACCCAAGUAGCUGGCACUAUGAGCACGCGCCACCAUGCCCAGCUAAUUUUUUUGUAUUUUUAGUAGAGAUGGGGUUUUGCCAUGUUGCCCAGGCUGGUCUCAACUCCUCAGCUCAAGCAAUCUGCCUGCGUAAGCCUCCCAAAGUGGUGGAAUUACAGGCGUGAGCCACUGCACCUGGCCCAGACAGACAUUUUCUGAAACACAACUGGCAAUGAGCUGUUUUUACAUUUUGAAAGUGAUUCUUCACUUCCUAGUUCUUAAUUAUAAUAUACCUAUUAAAAUCUGUAAGAUCCUGAAGACUUAUAAGAUCAUGAAGCCAUAUAAGAAUGAGGAUUGAAAGUUGAGCAAAAUUUUUGGGAUUUUGGGAAACAUUCUUAGCUGUGCUGUCUGCCUAAAAUUAUUCCUUAUUACUUCUCUCCUUUGACAGACUUCAAGUUUUCUUCAUAGCCCUUUCAAAGUUUUUUGGGCCAUCCAGAGUAAAAUCAUUUCUAAAUGAUAGUUCUGUAUAUCUCCAACUUGUCUUAAGUGUAUUUGCCUGUGUGCAAGGUAUUGCUAGACUAUGAACUCCUCAGCAUGGCUGCUGGAUAACUUAAUUGUCCUGAGUUACUAGCCUUCAAAGGACAAAUCAGUUUCUUUGCAGAUAGCUUCAUAAAACUUCACAUGGAGUUUAUUUUCCAUAUUUCCCGCUUUUAUUUCUGCUCCUCCUUUCAUUGCCCAUCUUGCUUCAGAGACUGACAUUUCAGGGUGGAUAUUAAUUAAAGCAUUAAUUUUCUUUUUUGGUAUAUUUCUAUCCCUAGCGUGUCUUACUGCUAAAAUACAGGAAAAGUGCCGUAUUUUUAAUGCAUUUAGUGGUUUUCUUUGGUGUUAUCUGUUCCAUUUUUCUUUUUCAUACAUUGAAGUGUGUCUCCUUUUCAACCAAAAUGACGAAAUAGUGGAGACCAUGAAAUUGUUGUGCCUGGCUAAUUGGCAAAUUAAUUUACCAAUAUAAUAAGUGUAGCGCCUUGUUUGAAUACCCUUUUUGAGAAGGUAUGAUGAGAAUGGGCAAGGGUGUCAGCAUCUCUUCUUCUUAAUAAUUGUUUUCAGUUUUGGUUCACGAAGAAUGCUUAGUUAAUCUGUAAUGUUGCCUAGAGCUGUAUUUAUCUGUUUUUAUUUAUACUAGUGUAGUAAAGCUGCAUAUCAUUACAGUAAAAAUGAUUACUGUGAUGAGUUAAUCAGAAAAUCUAUUAAAAUCUAUAUGACAA
rnacentral:lncRNA from 1 species